rnacentral:rRNA from 1 species
CGAACGGCACCUAUCUUCGGAUAGAAGCGAGUGGCGAACGGCUGAGUAACACGUGGGGAACCUGCCCCCUCCCCCGGGAUAGCCGCCCGAAAGGACGGGUAAUACCGGAUACCCCGGGGUGCCGCAUGGCACCCCGGCUAAAGCCCCGACGGGAGGGGAUGGCUCCGCGGCCCAUCAGGUAGACGGCGGGGUGACGGCCCACCGUGCCGACAACGGGUAGCCGGGUUGAGAGACCGACCGGCCAGAUUGGGACUGAGACACGGCCCAG